CCGCACAAGCGGUGGAUGAUGUGGUUUAAUUCGAUGCAACGCGAAAACCUUACCCACCUUUGACAUGUACGGAACUCGCCAGAGAUGGCUUGGUGCUCGAAAGAGAGCCGUAACACAGGUGCUGCAUGGCUGUCGUCAGCUCGUGUCGUGAGAUGUUGGGUUAAGUCCCGCAACGAGCGCAACCCUUGUCAUUAGUUGCUACAUUUAGUUGGGCACUCUAAUGAGACUGCCGGUGACAAGCCGGAGGAAGGUGGGGAUGACGUCAAGUCCUCAUGGCCCUUAUAGGUGGGGCUACACACGUCAUACAAUGGCUGGUACAGAGGGUUGCCAACCCGCGAGGGGGAGCUAAUCCCAUAAAACCAGUCGUAGUCCGGAUCGCAGUCUGCAACUCGACUGCGUGAAGUCGGAAUCGCUAGUAAUCGCGGAUCAGAAUGUCGCGGUGAAUACGUUCCCGGGUCUUGUACACACCGCCCGUCACACCAUGGGAGCGGGUUCUGCCAGAAGUAGUUAGCCUAACCGCAAGGAGGGCGAUUACCACGGCAGGGUUCGUGACUGGGGUGGAGUCGUAACAAGGUAACCGUA
rnacentral:rRNA from 1 species